rnacentral:rRNA from 1 species
CCUACGGGAGGCAGCAGUGAGGAAUAUUGGUCAUUGGACGAGAGUCUGAACCAGCCAAGUAGCGUGAAGGAUGACUGCCCUAUGGGUUGUAAACUUCUUUUAUAUGGGAAUAAAAUGUUCCACGUGUGGGAUUUUGUAUGUACCAUAUGAAUAAGGAUCGGCUAACUCCGUGCCAGCAGCCGCGGUAAUACGGAGGAUCCGAGCGUUAUCCGGAUUUAUUGGGUUUAAAGGGAGCGUAGGUGGAUUGUUAAGUCAGUUGUGAAAGUUUGCGGCUCAACCGUAAAAUUGCAGUUGAAACUGGCAGUCUUGAGUACAGUAGAGGUGGGCGGAAGUCGUGGUGUAGCGGUGAAAUGCUUAGAUAUCACGAAGAACUCCGAUUGCGAAGGCAGUUCACUGGACUGCAACUGACACUGAGGCUCGAAAGUGUGGGUAUCAAACAGGAUUAGAUACCCUUGUAGUC